GAAAUGCGAUAAGUAAUGUGAAUUGCAGAAUUCAGUGAAUCAUCGAAUCUUUGAACGCACAUUGCGCCCGCCAGUAUUCUGGCGGGCAUGCCUGUUCGAGCGUCAUUUCAACCAUCAAGCCCCCGGCUUGUGUUGGGGACCUGCGGCUGCCCGCAGGCCCUGAAAAACAGUGGCGGGCUCGCUGUCACACCGAGCGUAGUAGCAUACAUUCUCUCAGGGCGUGCUGCGGGUUCCGGCCGUUAAACGACCUUCAUAACCCAAGGUUGACCUCGGAUCAGGUAGGAAGACCCGCUGAACUUAAGC
rnacentral:misc_RNA from 1 species